rnacentral:rRNA from 1 species
GCUUAACACAUGCAAGUCGAGCGGUAAGGCCCUUCGGGGUACACGAGCGGCGAACGGGUGAGUAACACGUGGGUGAUCUGCCUCGUACUCUGGGAUAAGCCUGGGAAACUGGGUCUAAUACCGGAUAUGACCACGAAUCGCAUGGUUUGUGGUGGAAAGAUUUAUCGGUGCGAGAUGGGCCCGCGGCCUAUCAGCUUGUUGGUGGGGUAAUGGCCUACCAAGGCGACGACGGGUAGCCGGCCUGAGAGGGCGACCGGCCACACUGGGACUGAGACACGGCCCAGACUCCUACGGGAGGCAGCAGUGGGGAAUAUUGCACAAUGGGCGGAAGCCUGAUGCAGCGACGCCGCGUGAGGGAUGACGGCCUUCGGGUUGUAAACCUCUUUCGACAGGGACGAAGCGCAAGUGACGGUACCUGUAGAAGAAGCACCGGCCAACUACGUGCCAGCAGCCGCGGUAAUACGUAGGGUGCGAGCGUUGUCCGGAAUUACUGGGCGUAAAGAGCUUGUAGGCGGUUCGUCGCGUCGAUCGUGAAAACUUGCAGCUCAACUGCGAGCUUGCGGUCGAUACGGGCGGACUAGAGUACUGCAGGGGAGACUGGAAUUC